rnacentral:rRNA from 1 species
UACGUAUGCAGCAAACGUUGUUCGGAAUUACUGGGCGUAAAGAGUGUGUAGGCGGUUUCGUAAGUUUGGUGUGAAAUCUCCCGGCUUAACUGGGAGGGUGCGCCGAAAACUGCGAGGCUUGAGUACUGGAGAGGAGAGCGGAAUUCCUGGUGUAGCGGUGAAAUGAGUAGAUAUCAGGAGGAACACCGGUGGUGUAGACGGCUCUCUGGACAGUCACUGACGCUGAGACACGAAAGCGUGGGGAGCAAACAGG